AUCUGGACAUGAUGUGAAGACCCACAAGGAAUAUUAUCAGUUGUCUUCCAGUACCAUGGAACUCUCAAAGGUUGCCCUGAUGUUGUAUGCUGUUGAAAAUGGUAAAGUCAAUGAGUGGAAGGGAAGGCAGAUGAAGGACAUAGUAGUAGAAGAUUUACCUCUUCCAUUGAAGACGAAGAUGGCCAUCAAGAAGAGUCCAUGUCAACUGCUGACAGUGAAGAGCCAGGCAGUCUGACCCAUGAUAGGAGGGAGCCAAGUGAAGAGCCAGCCAGUCUGACCCAUGAUAGAAGGGAGCCAAGUGAAGAGCCAGCCAGUC